GAUGAACGCUGGCGGCGUGCCUAAUACAUGCAAGUCGAGCGAACGGACGAGAAGCUUGCUUCUCUGAUGUUAGCGGCGGACGGGUGAGUAACACGUGGAUAACCUACCUAUAAGACUGGGAUAACUUCGGGAAACCGGAGCUAAUACCGGAUAAUAUUUUUAACCGCAUGGUUCAAAAGUGAAAGACGGUCUUGCUGUCACUUAUAGAUGGAUCCGCGCUGCAUUAGCUAGUUGGUAAGGUAACGGCUUACCAAGGCAACGAUGCAUAGCCGACCUGAGAGGGUGAUCGGCCACACUGGAACUGAGACACGGUCCAGACUCCUACGGGAGGCAGCAGUAGGGAAUCUUCCGAAAUGGGCAAAAGCCUGACGGAGCAACGCCGCGUGAGUGAUGAAGGUCUUCGGAUCGUAAAACUCUGUUAUUAGGGAAGAACAUAUGUGUAAGUAACUGUGCACAUCUUGACGGUACCUAAUCAGAAAGCCACGGCUAACUACGUG
rnacentral:rRNA from 1 species